rnacentral:rRNA from 1 species
ACGGGUGCGGAACACGUACGCAACCUUCCUUUAAGUGGGGGAUAGCUUCCGGAAACGGAAAUUAAUACCCCAUAAAAUUGUUGGAUGGCAUCAUUUGACAAUUAAAGCUCCGGCGCUUAAAGAUGGGCGUGCGAACGGAUUAGGUAGUUGCGGGGAACGGCCCCCCCCCCAAGCCUACGAUCAGUAACUGGUGUGAGACAAACCAGUCACACGGGCACUGAGACACGGGCCCGACUCCUACGGGAGGCAGCAGUAAGGAAUAUUGGUCAAUGGACGCAAGUCUGAACCAGCCAUGCCGCGUGGAGGAUGAAGGUCCUCUGGAUUGUAAACUUCUUUUAUCUGAGAAGAAACCCCUGAAUUCUUUUAGGGUUGACGGUACCAGAUGAAUAAGCGCCGGCUAACUCCGUGCCAGCAGCCGCGGUAAUACGGAGGGUGCAAGCGUUAUCCGGAUUCACUGGGUUUAAAGGGUGCGUAGGUGGGUUGGUAAGUCCGUGGUGAAAUCUCCAAGCUUAAUUCGAAAAACUGCCGGGAAUACAAUCAAUCUUGAAUAUCGUUGAGGUAAGCGGAAUAUGUCAUGUAGC